rnacentral:rRNA from 1 species
UACAGAGGGGGCAAGCGUUGUUCGGAAUUACUGGGCGUAAAGGGCGCGUAGGCGGCCUGCUAAGUCGAACGUGAAAUCCCCGGGCUCAACCCGGGAACUGCGUCCGAUACUGGCAGGCUUGAAUCCGGAAGAGGAGAGUGGAAUUCCUGGUGUAGCGGUGAAAUGCGCAGAUAUCAGGAGGAAUACCGGUGGCGAAGGCGGCAUCCUGGACCAUUACUGACGCUGAGGCGCGAAAGCUAGGGGAGCAAACGGG